GAUGAACGCUAGCGGCAGGCCUAACACAUGCAAGUCGAGGGGUAGAAGGAGCUUGCUCCUUUGAGACCGGCGCACGGGUGCGUAACGCGUAUGCAAUCUACCUUGUACAGGGGAAUAGCCCAGAGAAAUUUGGAUUAAUGCCCCAUAGUAUAUAACCUUCGCAUGUUGGUUAUAUUAAAGUUCCAACGGUACAAGAUGAGCAUGCGUCCCAUUAGUUAGUUGGUAAGGUAAAGGCUUACCAAGACGAUGAUGGGUAGGGGUCCUGAGAGGGAGAGCCCCCACACUGGUACUGAGACACGGACCAGACUCCUACGGGAGGCAGCAGUGAGGAAUAUUGGUCAAUGGUCGCAAGACUGAACCAGCCAUGCCGCGUGCAGGAAGACGGUCCUAUGGAUUGUAAACUGCUUUUAUACAGGAAGAAACCCUCCCACGUGUGGGAGCUUGACGGUACUGUAGGAAUAAGGAUCGGCUAACUCCGUG
rnacentral:rRNA from 1 species